rnacentral:rRNA from 1 species
UGUGCUAAGGUAGCAUAAUCAUUAGUCUUUUAAUUAAAGGCUUGUAUGAAAGGUGAAACAAUUAAUUUUCUUUCUUAUUUAAUUUUUUCAAAAUUAUAUUAAAUAUAAAAAUAUAUUUAUAAAUAUAUAAGACGACAAGACCCUAUUGAACUUUACUUUAGUUUAGCUGGGGUAGCUAAUUAAACAAAAUUUUAAUUUAUUAUAUAUCUAUAUAUAUAUAUAUAAAUAAUAAAUGACCCAACUAUAGUUGAUUUUAUGAAUUAAGUUACCAUAGGGAUAACAGCAUAAUUUUUUUUUAAAGCUCAUAUUUGAAAAAAAGAUUGUGACCUCGAUGUUGAAUUAUUGUUACAUUUACUACGCAAUAGUAUAAAAUGUAGGUCUGUUCGACCUUUAAUACAUUACAUGAUUUGAGUUCAAAUCGGUGUAAACCAGAUUGGUUUCUAUCUAUAUAAUAUAUUUUUAUUUAGUACGAAAGGACCAAUAGAUUUAUUUUAAAU